CCUACGGGUGGCAGCAGUGGGGAAUAUUGGACAAUGGGCGAAAGCCUGAUCCAGCCAUGCCGCGUGUGUGAAGAAGGCCUUCGGGUUGUAAAGCACUUUCAGUGGGGAAGAAAGCCUUGGGGCUAAUACCCUCGAGGAAGGACAUCACCCACAGAAGAAGCACCGGCUAACUCCGUGCCAGCAGCCGCGGUAAUACGGAGGGUGCGAGCGUUAAUCGGAAUUACUGGGCGUAAAGCGCGCGUAGGCGGUCUGAUAAGCCGGUUGUGAAAGCCCCGGGCUCAACCUGGGAACGGCAUCCGGAACUGGCAGGCUAGAGUGCAGGAGAGGAAGGUAGAAUUCCCUGUGUAGCGGUGAAAUGCGUAGAGAUCGGGAGGAAUACCAGUGGCGAAGGCGGCCUUCUGGACUGACACUGACGCUGAGGUGCGAAAGCGUGGGUAGCAAACAGGAUUAGAUACCCCUGUAGUC
rnacentral:rRNA from 1 species